rnacentral:lncRNA from 1 species
UGCCGUUAAGCUCUUUUAAUCAUGAGUCGAUUCAUAGAAUCGACUCAAAAAUAUAAAUCUAUUUUUCUUACAAAAUACGCUUUCAAAAAUAUUAAAACUGCCUCAAAUAGAUUACACAUCUUUUGUUCUUGCUUUUGAGACUUCAAAAUCAUAUCCGAUAAAAUUACAAUUUUAUCUCUGAAAUAUAAUAAAAUUUUUUUCAAACCAAAAUCAUUAGUAAUCUCUUCAAAUGCUUUAUAACCAUCAAAAUCAAUUUAAAGAACAACAUUCGAUAUAUUAUUAUUUACGUUAUAAAUUUUAUAAUCCUUUCAGCAUAACAUUUUCUCUCCUAAUGUUCUGAGACACGUUCGAAUAUGUGUAUCCAUAUGCACAAGUCAUAAUAUCCAAUAAUUUAAAAUUAAAUAAUAUAAAAUAAAAUCAACAUUUAAUAUUAUUCAAUAGAAUAAAAAUAUCAAACAUACAAAAAAAAAAUAAUACAACAAAAUUAUAAAAAUACUAAAUACAAAUACAACAAAAACUAAAUUCCACGAGGACGUCGCGGCGCCCGUGGUCGCUUGGACCUUCUGAGGAAGAUCCUCGCCGACUGCUCCUGCUGUGAUGGCUCCUCCCCUACAUCAGUGGAAGAAAUCUGCUGAUCAUGCUGCUCAGGAAUAACUGAUGCUGUCGGAUCAUCUACGGACUGAAAGAUCCGUUCAACUCUCAUCUGAAUACACGGAUGGACCUGAAAAAAAUAUCAUACUCGUGGCCAACUGAUACCCGACUGGUACCCGAUGAUGGCAUCUGGAAGAUGUAGGAAGAAGAAGACGCUGCCAUCUGUGGAUAAAAAGACGAUAGCAUCUGUGCAGCAUCGAAUGAUGACAUAUUCGGAAUAUGCGAUAUGACCUUCUGAGGAAAAUCCUCGCCGGCUGCUCCUGCUGUGAUAGCUCCUNN